ACACAAUUGUUUUGGAAACUACUGUAGCUUUGUAUGAAAUUCAAGCGCUUGUUGGGCUAAAAUAAUAGAUUUGUGAAAUAAAAUUCAACGAUAUAAUUGAAAUUAUUCAGUCAUUUUAUUGACGGCAAAAACAACGGAACUACACGAAAUUUUGCGAAUCAAGCACAUGUUACUGACGUAGUACACAUGUUUAUUACGUAGAACACAGGUUUAUUGUGCGCGCAAUAUUCAAAGACGGCAGACACUUCGUCUCAUAUCGACAGUGAACUGAUAUCGUCUCCCCAAUAAAGACAUACAACGAGGAAGGUGAAAUAGCCCAAGCAAAUUAUCAGAAGAAGACCUUCAAAGCUGCAAUCGGUGAAAUUCACUAUAAGAAUUGGUACCACAAGGCCACAAAGGGAGGAGUUCAACUAAUUUGUGGAUGAUGUUCAAAGCUGAGGAGAGUGAGAGCUUAAAUCUAUAAAACGGGUCAAAAACGUUUGAUAAAGAAACUGUCAUAAAUUCUUCAGGUAAUUGAAAGAGGGCAAGUUGUACAAAAUGCCAUGGAGCUAAAUAAACAUGGAGAAGAAACUGUGAUGUCACACAGUUAAAUUCAGUAUUGGCAGAAUUGUGUUCUUAUAAGUUAUCAUAUGUUGCGGGAUUUUCAGAGAUUUGAUGCAUCCUGGGUAAAAAUAGCCAAAACACCGUCAUAUUGGAUUCCCGGAGGAAGAUGAAACAUUUUUUUGCUUAAAUAGAAAGCAAUAGUUAUUUAUUGUAAAAGGUACUAUACACACUUUCUAUACAAAUAUUUCUCUGAUGAAAAUCUAUGUCGGGGUAUGUAAACAAUAAUUCAUGGAUAUCGUCCAAGUUUAACGAGAGUGCGAAAAUUGGAGACUAUCGAGAAAACCCAAUUAUCACCAAAGCCUGCAAAGGAUUGUGGGUCUAAAUCUGACUAUUAUCUAUUUUUAGAGCUUCCUAUCUGUUGUAUAUAUAUAUAUAUAUCUGUGAAAAUGCAAAGAAGUCGUUGGAUUACCAAAGAUCAACAUUUCAU